GGUGAAGGAAAAUUAAGAGAAAAAUGCAGUGGAUAUAUAUAAACAAAAAAUUAUCUUUGGUGAAUUCUUACGAAUGGUCAUGAUCGAUGAUUGAAUGAUUACCUCUUAUAGUAACGAACCUUUAAAAUCAAAUUCACAAAGAGAUCACGAGCACUGGAUGGACGAUAACAUAUCUACUCAGUUCACAUAAACAUGUUACCAUCAAUCAAAGCCCG
rnacentral:lncRNA from 1 species